rnacentral:rRNA from 1 species
AGAGUUUGAUCCUGGCUCAGAAUGAACGCUGGCGGCGUGCUUUACACAUGCAAGUCGAGCGAGGCGGGGAGCAAUCCCCAGUCGAGCGGCGAACGGGUGAGUAACGCGUGGAUGACCUGCCCUUCAGCGGGGAAUAACCCGGGGAAACUCGGGCUAAUACCGCAUACGACCGAGAGGUGAAAGCGGGGUCGCAAGAUCUCGUACUGAAGGAGGGGUCCGCGUCCGAUUAGCUAGUUGGUAGGGUAAUGGCCUACCAAGGCGACGAUCGGUAGCCGGCCUGAGAGGGUGAUCGGCCACACUGGAACUGAGACACGGUCCAGACUCCUACGGGAGGCAGCAGUGGGGAAUUUUGCGCAAUGGGCUAACGCCUGACGCAGCAACGCCGCGUGGAGGAUGAAGGUCUUUGGAUUGUAAACUCCUGUCAGCAGGGAAAAAGGGAGGCGACCUAAUACGUCGUUGACUUGAUUGUACCUGCAGAGGAAGCCCCGGCUAACUCUGUGCCAGCAGCCGCGGUAAUACAGAGGGGGCAAGCGUUAUUCGGAAUUAUUGGGCGUAAAGGGCGCGUAGGCGGCUUUGCAAGUGACGGGUGAAAUCCCUCGGCUUAACCGAGGAACUGCCUGUCAGACUGCAUCGCUUGAAUCCAGGAGAGGUGAGUGGAAUUCCCAGUGUAGCGGUGAAAUGCGUAGAUAUUGGGAGGAACACCAGUGGCGAAGGCGGCUCACUGGACCGGUACUGACGCUGAGGCGCGAAAGCGUGGGGAGCAAACAGGAUUAGAUACCCUGGUAGUCCACGCCGUAAACGAUGAGUGCUAGGUGUUGGGGGGUACCACCCUCAGUGCCGAAGCUAACGCAUUAAGCACUCCGCCUGGGGAGUACGGUCGCAAGACUGAAACUCAAAGGAAUUGACGGGGGCCCG